UCUUUCCAAGCUGAGUUGUGGCCUUUUUCACGCACCCCCCUCCUCUGAUAGGAGCUCACACUGCUUGAAGUAACACGAACCACUGAGGCACAGCAUGCAGGCGACGCAAGUGUUCAGGUGUUCCCCACACACACACAACCCUUCCUGAAUCGCGGAGUCGAACCUGAGCUGUGCGAGGCCCACGCUUCCCCCACCUCCUUUCAGGAAUGCCCUAACAUUGGAUUCAUAGUUGGGGAUGAGGCUUCCUCCUUGAGAUAUAAAAGACUGUUCAAGGCCAUCACUGGUCUCUCCUGCCUGCCUGUUUUCUUUAGGACUCGGGACAAUUCAAUGGUGGGAAAAGCAGCUUCAUAAAACAGAAGGGUGAUCAUCGUGGGAUGAGCAGAUGGCGGAGUGGUACACGGGAGUGUUUCUAGGGGGCCUGACAGAUGAGCUCUGUCUGUGUGAUGCCAGUUGUAAGUCUGAGCUCCCGGAGCCUGGCCCUUAGGAGCCCACCUAUGUUGGCAAUGGCCGUACCUGAGGCAAGCAAGUGGUGCUGGCAAGGUCACGCUGAGCUCACAUGGGUGAGAAGUCCGGGAUGCUUACCCAAGGUCCUCAGUUGUCGUUGUUGGGUCCUCUUGAGAGUGGCCACACAGUGCUAAAGGCAACUCCCUUCUUAAACAUUGGCAUCCUGCAGGAGACAGGACCACCCCAUCCCAGUGCUUCAGCCCAUUUUAGCAGUAAUGAAUUUACGGUUUGGAUUCUUUUGUUUUGUUUUUAAUGUUACUUUUAUGUCUGUCUGAUGCCUUUUCAUUUCCUGGGCUAAGCAGUUGCAUUGGGAAACCUGGACCAGAGAGAUUCACUCCUUAAGAACCAGUGAUGGUCAAAUCUUAUCACUCCACUUUGAAGUAGGUGGAGGUUCAAAUGAGAACUUCAAGACAGGAUGUUUGUUUAAAAUUGAACCCCUCUUGCCAGAGAUGCUGAAGUUACAGACCUUGGACAGGCCAGGGGUCUUUGCUUUGGGUCUCCAACUUGGAUGGCCAGUUGGCAAUUUAGAGGGACGAACAUUCUGUGAUGGGAUGGCAGAGUGAUUGAGGGUGCAGUAGGAAACUAUGGUAACCGGCAUCAUGACGAGACAGGAAUUGCUGACAGAGGGGUAAAGGGCCUGGAAGAAGCAUGGACCACAUCUGGACCUGAUGGUUCCUGAAGGUGUCAGGACCACACGGAGGCUGUGGAGUCAUCUGUGGGCUUUUGGUGUCAGAUAAGAAACUCGGCAUCCUGCUCUGGGGACUUCUCCAAGAGCUAAGCCACAUGCUGAAGAACUCGGACGCCAUCACGCUCAUCAGAUGAGUGGUCAGUCUGGGGCAUGACGUUAGGGAUUUGAUUUCUCUUAUUUCUGUGAGAGCUUCAUAAUCACUGAUUUGUGUGUCCACAUUUGUGUCCGCAUCUUUCCAUUACUCAUUAUCGUGUCCAAUAGGGCUUCUAAGUCCAGUAGAUUACGGGUAGUCGUUGACGAAGAUCUGGUUUACAAGAACUAAUUAAAUGUUUCAUUGCAUUUUUGUAAGAACAUAGAAUAAUUUUAUAAAAUGUUUGUAGUUUAUAAUUGCCGAAAUAAUUUAAAAACACCUUUUUUUCCUCUCCGUGUGCAAAAAAAUAUGUGUUUGUGGUCUUUUUUUUUCCCUUUGUUUUCUUUUUUCUUUUUCUUUUCUUUGUUUUUUUUUUUGACACUUGUUUACUAGCUAGCUUUACAAUAUGCCAAAAAUAAAAAAUAAAAAAUUUUUAAAAAAUUAAUUAAUUAAAAAAAUUCUCCCCGGGACCCAAAUUGUGGUUCGCCCCUUUCCCAUAUGCUUUCUGCUCUAGUUUGUAAAAAAUAAAAAUUUUUAAAAAAAAUUAAAACAAAACAAAAAAAAAGACAAAAGGAAUGCCAGUGGUUUAAAAAGUACUUCUGAAUUCUUCAGUAUCUUGGUCUUGGAACCCUGUGCUGGGGAAUGGAAUUAUCUGUUACUUACUGUUCCCGGUGGAGUAUAGCCGCCUAAACAGAUAGAACGAACCAAGAAUCUCGCUGGCCAUGGAAGUAGUGGGUGUGUUGCCACCCAGCAAGAGAUGGCACUCACUGGUGACAUCUGGCUGGUGUGGCUGAUUCUAGUCUUGCAACACGGUGGAGAUGGGAGGGUUUCAGGACACUUGAGAGGCUUCACAGUGGUCACAUGAUUCUGUUGUGCAGGCCAUGGGCACAUGUGCCUCAGGCCCUAAUGAAAGCUGUGCCUACCUGUAUUUAAUGCCGAACGCUGAAGGUCCAUUUUUUUUUUAACCAAUACAGAACAAACUGGUAACAAAAACCACAGCGUGUGCCCCCUCAUCCCCCCCCCCUGUUUUUUAGAAUUAAAAUCCAUGUCCUUUGGCUCCCUGUGCAUUAUUGGCCGUGUCUCUAUGGUUCCACAAGACACCGUUGUUGAGAACAUCUGGAACUUUCUAACACUACAGGAGAAAGGUCUAGGAACCGUCGGUGGGUUUGGUAUGGUUUUUUCAGUUUCUUGUGGAUUUCAGGCAGUGUGCAGACACAGUACCCAGGCACGGGUGCCUGCCGGUGGCAUCCCCUGUCUGCUUCCUAAGCCAGUGAGGUUGAGGUGAGAACUUUGCCAGAGCUUAUCUACCUCUGGGAUUUUAAAAAAUAAUAAAUAAAUAAAGUCAAAUCAGAAAGCGGGACGGAACAGAUGCAUCGUCAAUAAUGCAUUUCUGAGUUUUCUUGUUAAAUUUUUUCUUAAAAAAGAAAAAAAAGUCUAAAAAAGAUAAAUAUGGCCAAUUUGUUACAUAAAAUAACUUUCUGUGUGUAAAUUAUUCCUAAAAAAAAAAAAACCCUCUGUUUAUAUAUAAAAAAAAAUCAGUAGAUGAAAAAAAAUUCAAUGUUUUUGUAUAUUCUGUUGUAAGAAUUUAUUCCUGUUGCGGCAACAUACUCGGGACUCUUUACAUUAUGAAAAAAAGAAACUUUGUCUAUUUUGAAUGGCUGAAGCUAAGGCCACUUGAGUCUAUUACUCUGCUUUUUUCUAGUAGUUAAAGUACCACAUGAAUUAAGUUAAAUAAAAGAAUUCUGUAUGC
ensembl:lncRNA